GUGCGCACUUCAGCAGCACAGAUACUAAAAUUGGAAUGAUACGGAGAUUAGCAUGUCCCCUGUGCAAGGAUGACACACAAAUUUGUGAAGUGUUACAAUAAAAA